UAUUUCGUAAUGGGAUUAUUCAAAGUUAUACUAAAUGGCAUCAUCAUGGUGAAUUGUCAGAUGAAUCUAGUGAAAGUGAUGCGGAAGAUGUCAAUAUUCCUAUAGAUCAAGGCAGUAGAAAUAUGGAGACAAUGCUUGAGGACUUAUUUGGGCAUGUAGCGAACUCCUCAAAUACUAACACAAGUGAUGGAGAGUGUACUAAUCCUGAAGAUCCUAUUCCUGAAGCGCAAAAUUAUUAUCGAUUAUUAGAAGAAUGUAGACAAGAUAUAUAUCCGGGAUGCAAACGAUAUUCAACAUUAUCUUUUCUAGUACAUUUGUUGAAUCUCAAAUGUCUCAAUGGUUGGAC
rnacentral:lncRNA from 1 species